GUGAAAUUCCGUCGGAAUCCGGGAGGACCAUCUCCCAAGGCUAAAUACUCCCUAGUGACCGAUAGUGAACCAGUACCGUGAGGGAAAGGUGAAAAGCACCCCGGAAGGGGAGUGAAACAGUUCCUGAAACCGUGUGCCUACAAGUAGUUAGAGCCCGUUAAUGGGUGAUAGCGUGCCUUUUGUAGAAUGAACCGGCGAGUUACGAUUUGUUGCAAGGUUAAGCGGAAAAAGCGGAGCCGUAGCGAAAGCGAGUCUGAAUAGGGCGCAUAAGUAACAGGUCGUAGACCCGAAACCAGGUGAUCUACCCAUGUCCAGGAUGAAGGUAAGGUAAUACUUACUGGAGGUCCGAACCCACGCACGUUGAAAAGUGCGGGGAUGAGGUGUGGGUAGCGGAGAAAUUCCAAUCGAACUUGGAGAUAGCUGGUUCUCUCCGAAAUAGCUUUAGGGCUAGCCUCGAGGUAAAGAGUCAUGGAGGUAGAGCACUGUUUGGACUAGGGGCCCUUCUCGGGUUACCGAAUUCAGAUAAACUCCGAAUGCCAUGUACUUAUACUCGGGAGUCAGACUGCGAGUGAUAAGAUCCGUAGUCGAAAGGGAAACAGCCCAGACCACCAGUUAAGGUCCCCAAAUAUAUGU
rnacentral:rRNA from 1 species